rnacentral:lncRNA from 1 species
UUUUUUUUUUUUUUUUUUCCCUCUUUACAGAUGAGAAACUGAAGCACAGAGAAGCAAAGUCUCUUACCCAAAGUCACGCCACCUGUAGCUGGCAAGGCUGGAAUCCAGACCCAAGCUGACUGGCUCUGAAGCCCACUGCUUCCCGCUGAAGCUUUGGCAUCAAGCAGUGAAGGGGUGGGGUUUGCAUGGGGUCGGGGAAAGAUCCAUUUGGUUCUUGUACAAAUGGUGGCAAGUUUGAGGCCCUCAGGCUGGGAGGAAGAGGCUAUAAAAUUUGUCAAGAGCCUCAAAUGACACCCUGAAGGAUUUGGGCCUGCAACUAAGCAGCAGAUAGGAUUCUCAGGCCACCCAGUACGGUGGGCGAGACACAUACUUUGCUACUCAAAGACCAGCAAGCUUGAGCCUCAUCUUGGAGUUGGUUCUACAGGGCAGAGUCUCAGGCCCCAGCCUGACCCGGCUGAGUUAGAAUCUACAUUUAACAAGGUUAAAGUCUGGAUUACAUUCAAUUCAUCUGGUCUGUGAUCCCAUCCCACUGGGAUGAAGGCAAGCAAGCCCAGCCUUGAUCAUUCUGGGGGUUCCCUCCUCUGCGGAGUUGGCUCAGUUCCAGAGGCUUAGAGAGUCCCCAAAAAUCUGAGGUGGCUCCCAGGAAUCUGUCUACACUGCUUGCCCUAUAGCUCCUCAGCUCGCAUCUUGCUCUAAAUUAAGCCAAAAGGCUACUCCUUUUGCUAAUAUUGGAAUGUGGUUCUCCCUCUCACUUCCUUCUGGAAACUGCAUUCCCUGAGCAAAACCCCAUUCCCUGAGCAAGAACAGGGGCAUAUCAGCCAUGCAUUCAUCUACACACCCUCCCUCCAAAGGGAAUGUCCCCCCCGAGUCCCCCAGCAUCCCCCUGGCCCAGGGCCGCAGCAGGUGCUCAGUACAUAUCUGUGACCCAAAGACGGCCAAACCAUUGUCCCACUCAAGGGGCCCCACAGGCUCAGCAGCACUGCGUGGCCCUGGGGUCUAUAGUGAGGUCAGAGGCCUUGCAACUCAGGGCUGGCUUCCUGUAGCCACCCCUUGAUGCUUACCCCAAGGCCAUGUCCCCAGGUCCCCACGCACACAGGUCCCGUCCAGUCUGGAAGCCCCGGCUGCUCCACCAUGUUCUUCCUCUACCCCAGCUGCUCCUGAUUCUCUCCAGUAAUUUCUUCCAUUUGAGACUUUGACCAGAAGUCAGAGAGUCUUAACUAUGGGCCGCCCUUCUGCCCAAAUCCCAGCAGUACCUACUGACUACACCCAAUUAUUUGCUGGAAGCUGGGGAGAGAAAAGCCCGGAGGCGCAGACUCAGGCUAAUAUGGCCUAAUUUGGCCUGUUUCCCUCUCUUUGCCUCAGUCUCCUCUGCUCCAGGGGGUCAAUUACUACUUUCUUGGCUGGACAGGGCAUGACACUCACAGAGAGAGGAAACUCCAGUGGUGUAUUUCAGGCACGAGACCACCCAGUGCUCCAGGCACUUGGGAGUAGGAGAGGGAGGAGAGUGGGUUGUGGAUAAGGAGGGCACAUAAGGGAUUUGGUACCAAAGGGUCUGGUUCAUCACCUUGUUUGCCGCCAAUGCCAUGUCACUCAAGUGGUCUCUGCCCCUCGUGGAACUUCAGUUUGCUCAACUGCACAAAUGAAGAGGCAUGAGAGGAGUCAACUCUGGCCAGGCAAGAUGGGAGCCGAGGAGCUACAGGGCAAGCAGCUGCCAGGCUCCCAUGACUUAAUGGGCUCUGGAGGGGACCUCCCAUCCCGCCUUCCUCCUUGCUCCGGAGGCAGCAGCAGUGUGGAGGCUGGUGUGGCCACCUGCUGUCCCCAAGGCCACAGAAGCUGAGCGGAGAAAGUGGUGUAUGUUACUUUGGUUUUCCCUGAGAGCCAGGCCAGUUCCUGCCCAGGGACAGAAACUUCCUCUCGGAACAGGAAUGAAGCCAACUGGACUCCUGGCCUGCCUGCCUGGGAAGGAAACCCAACUUCAAUGAGGACAUCUGUUCUUCGAGGAAUCCCAGCCCAAGCAGGGCUGUCAGGGCAGAGGAGCCCAUGCCCCCCAGUCGAACAACUGGUGCCUCUUGGACAGAGCUGCUGGCCACUGAUCCCCCUCUUUUACUCCGUCUAUGUUAUUUACUGAGGCCCUGCUCUGUGUAAGCAACAGCUCCAGGCACAGGAGAACAGACAUAAGGACCCUGCAUGGAGCUCAAAUUUGAAAGGGGGAAAGUCAGAGCCACCAAGAAGUAUAUAAUAUUUAUAUGCAAUCAAGAAAAAGUGGGGUAAGAAAUGAUGGGACAUUUUUAGACAGAGUGGUUGGGAUGGGCUUCUCUGAGGAGGGGACAUUUAGGUAGAGACCCAAAGGAAGAGAUGGAGCAAGCCAGGUAGCUAGCUGGGGAGAGGGGGCCCUGGGUCCAGGGAGCAAGUACAAAGGCCAUGAGGUGGGCAAUUGCUCGGCAUGUUCAAGGAAUGCAGAGGAGAUGACUAUCGCUGGAGUAGCGUGAGCCAGGGCAAGAGAAGGGGUAGUCGGUGAGGUCAGGAAGGGCUUUGUGGGCCACACUGAGUCCUAGGUUUUACUGCAAGAGGCAACAGGAAAGGCUACUGGGAGGUUUAGACCCAAGGCAGGAUAGGAUGGGGAGGCUGGAGAGCAAGCAGGAACCCAGUGAGGUGGUAACUGCUCUAACCCAGGUGAGAGCUGGAGAUGGUGGGGCCAGAGGGUGACACAGGCAGUAAGAAGUGGUCAGAUUCGGAGUCUCUUUGAAAGGUAGAUCCAGAGGAUCGUCGGGCAGGACAGUGAGUAGGGAGGAAGAAAAAGUGAGGACACCUGAGCAAGCACAGGAACACAGGAACAGAGCUGAGAUGGAGAAGUCAAGGCAGAAGCAGGCACCAAACAGGGUUCUUGGCAGCUGUUCCUCCCCAGCACAGUCGCAUUCUCUCUCUCACACACAUACACACCCUUGCCCUUUUUAUCUAUUAAGCCUGCCCUCAACCUGUUAUCAGAUAAGGACACUGAGGCUGGGAAGCACCCAAGA